UGUGUGGGGACGAGGGAGAGACCAAAAGCUCAGUCAAAGAGAUUUUCAGCAUCUGCGGUAUUUUGCCAUUGGAAUAAACUGUAUACUCCAGCAAUAGCUGAACAACAUACACUUAUGUACCAGCUAUUAUGAGGAAGAAUGGCUCAACAAGCUUCACAACAACAAUCGGGAUCACUGAGCAGAAAAGAAAGGAGAGGAACUUUGAGGAGCCUGAUUGAAUAAUUCAACAGUAUUCACCAGAAAGCUCACUGUUGAUUUUGACUGGAGUGAACAGCAGGCAAACAGAGCUGAAAUAACACAAGAGGGAGCGCUCUGAAACACCUC